UUAAGAAGUACAGACAUUUAUGUAUUUUUUAAUUCAAUAUGGGCAAAUACCUAGCAAGUCAUAGGCUUAUAAUAAAUAUGUGAAAAUGUUUGUUGGACAAAAAAGAAAUGAAUGCAUAUUAAGCUCACACUGUCAAUAAAUAAGAGAGAUACAAAAAAAGAUUAGUUCUGUUUGAGAGAGGUCCAUUUACUACACAGAAGCUAUAUUUUAGUUUUGUAAAGAAGAUGAGAGGAUUAAGACUGACUCAGUAUAAAUGGAAUAAUUUUGGUAAAUGAGCAAAUGUUAAGCUCACAAUUGCUUGAUAUUCUGUUCUGGCCAUGCAAAUACAGUAGCACCUACCCCAUUCAGUCUGGGAUAUGAAAUAUAAAUCAGCUCAUGAAAAUGAGAAAUUCUUAGAUUAGAUUUUUAAAGAAAGAAAGAGUUAUGGUCUUUGCAAGGGCCAAAUUAAGAAAAUAAAAGGAUAAAAUGUUGAAAUUUUCAUGUUAGCAAACUAAAAUAAAGUGACAUUGGUAUAAUACGAAAUCUAAGUUGAAGAGAUAUAAUAAAGUAAAAGAGUCACAACAGAAAAUGUUCACACAAUUGACCAAAAAAUGAUAAAUCAGUCAUGAACUUAUAAGCAUUUCAGCUAACCAAAUAAAAUCAACCUAUACAAAACAAAAAUGCUGAUUUUAUUAGACUAUAUUACUAGGACCACAGCUAAUUUGGAAAAGUUCAUUGAAUCUCUUUGACAAUAUUUUGGAUCAAAAAGAAAAAGAAAAAAAAAAGGAAAACAGAAAGAAAAAAAAUUCCAUUUCCAAUUAGUAUUUGAGAUAGGUUAGGUGGGUGGAUCUUCCACUGAAAACAACCAAAAAAUUCUAAAUAAGACAGUCAAAAGUAGAAUUUAAAAACUUUGUUAACUAGGAAAGUGUAAGGUCUUAUUCUUAAUCAUACCACCUAUUGAACAUGCACAUGGGUAUUGUAUCAAGUACAUAAUAAUAAGUACAUUGAUUGUUCAUAAUUUUAUCAUAUCUUGUACACUACUCAUUAUUAGUCAAUACUUGCUAAAUGGUCCAUAGGUGUCACUAUUAUCCAGUUAGAAUGUAGAGCUUCAUGAAAAUUAACGUUAGAAAAGAAUUACCUGUUAAGCAUCUCAUCAGUUCUUUUUGCUAUUUCUAAUAUUGUUUCUCUUAAGGACCCAUAUUUGCAGUGUUGAGAUCAAUUUUAUUGUUUUGAUAACAUGUAUAACUGGUAAUCCAUGUAGAUUAAAAGAAGGAAGGAGACUAUUGAUCAAUAUCUCUUUCAGUGGUCAGUUUCUAAAUGAUGUUUAAGUUUAAAAGCAUCAGUGUGGCAAAGGAAACUUACAAGAUUGUAACCAUUUAUUAUUUUUCUGAUUAACUUUUCUGGAAUACUCGUGAUAAGGAUCCUGGUCUCUGGUAUGUUAAGAGACAAAAUUUUUGAAAAGAUCAAUUUAUACCCCAUCUCUGAAUCCACUGUUAUUAUAUCAGAGGAUAUUCACACAUACUUAAAACUUACCAAGAACUCUUUUAAGAAACAUACAGAUAGGAAACCAUUUGAUACUCUAAUACUUUCCAAAAAUAGUAUCCUCAAUUGGCAAAUGAGAAACUAAGGUACAGAUAGACAAGGUAACUACUCCUGAGUUACACCACUAGUAAAUGCUGGAAUGUGAAUCCAUAUGCUCUGUCUCUACAUCCUGUGCAUUUCCAGUCUAUGCUGGUUUAUCAUUUCAUUUUUAAAAGAGAAUAGUGAUAAUGAUCACAUGAUAGAAAAGUUACCUAUUUGAGCCAGGAGAUUUCCCAAGCCAGUGUACUUUUUGUUACAAGUACCAGAAAUUCACAUUUACUACGUAAAACAAGGAGAUAAAUGUGCCACUGGAUCUAACAAAGUUUAUCAGGCCUGCUGCACGAUUUUCAGUCAAGUCCCAUGAGACACUGAUUCCCAUCCUUUCCCAUUUUCUCUAGGAUAACCUGGUUUCUCAUACCUGCUUCUCUUGGUUUCUGCUUCAUUUAACUCUUUUUGUAAAAAAACUCCCCCAGAGUGACUUUAUUUGUGAUUUCCCAACUAGUUUUACUUACAAGUCUUUUUGGUGUAAUUAGCUGGUUUCAGAUUUGUGUCAGGCAUUCUCUAACACAGGUGCUUUUAUUGUAAUAUACCAAAGAGAGAUCAAGACUCUUCAAAGCAUGCUGUGGUUAAGUUGGCACUCUGACCAUCACGUCCAUCCAUACCUGGGCAUGCUCCUUUGUGUUGUUCUUGGUUAGAAAUUUCCAGUAAUGGGGAUUUGUUUGAUAUUCAUUAUACAGAAGUGAAACCACAUAAUCAUUGGGAGGUCAUAAGUGUGAUACCAAGAAAUGUCAUCAGUUUGUCGACCUUGAUAUUUACAUGUGGCAAAGGCAGCAGCUUCUGAACCCAUCCCUGAGCAUCCAGUCUGCUUUUAUGGAGAACUGAUUUCCCUGCAAAUUCUCCUUUUCCUUCCAAACUGCACUGCUGUUCUUCAGAUCAAAGUCUAUAUGAGUGUAUAUCUCACCUUGGAUGUCAAAUACCCAGUUCUUCAGAGGCAUCAUUCUUGAACUUCUUUCUUGAGAUCGUCUAAGAGUCAUAAAAAUAAUAAUUUCUUUUAAACUUUUUUUAAUAAGAAAGGAUAGAUAAACUUGUUUCCUGAAUAAUCCCUUACUGGGUACCCUUGUAAUAUAUCAACACUUUUUUGGUUUUUAUAUGCAAUGUUUAUCCAAAGUCAUGGGUCAAUAAUUUAAUUUAAAAGAUGCUGGCUAUUAUUAGGAGAGUGUCAACAAGUCUAAGCUGUGGGUUUUUUCCUACUUUAUCUACAUUACAAAUUUAAUGGCUGAAAAUACCUACAUUACCAUAUAUAGAUAUAAAAGCAUCUCUGCAUGAAUGAGUUUUUGGAUAGCUCAACUAUGGAAAAUAGGGAAUACCAAUUCCUAUGAGAGCAAUAAUGACAGUAUACCUAGAAAUUAAUGCACAAUGAAUACACUCACAUUAUUAAUACGGGAUAUAAAUUUUUUCCUACUAAAUUUAAAAUCUCCCCUCAUAGUUUGAAAAAUAAUGAAAUCAUGAUAAUUUGGAAUGCCACCUGUUAAGAUAAAUUUCAUUCAUUUAGACAGUCAGACUGCAGACCAAGUAAGAUGAUAUUAAAGGACCAAUGUAGUCAUCUAGGCUUAUCUUUUCCAUCCUACAUUUUUUUCCAUAAUAAAACAUUCAACUUUUGUGAAUUUGCUUUCUAUAUAAAGGAAAAAGAUAACUCAAGGCAGAAAGUCAAGUGUACCUCAUAGGAAUUAUAAUGAUGAGACCAAAAAAGAAGGAUGGGGAGACAGACAAAAUCCGGAACUCAGUAUAUUGGCUGUCAAUAAUUGCUUCCUUUUUGCAUCAAUCUUCUAAAGAAUCACAUACAGAGAAAAUAAAUAUGAGGAUAAAUUAAGUUAAGUUACUCAAAUGAAACUGUAUCAAAAAAUUGAUGCCCCAAUUAAAGUGAUGUUCUUAGUAUAACUACUAUUUACAAUAUUUAAUGAGACAAUUUUUCUAUAGCAAAAUAAUUAUAGUGGUAAUAUUCACUUUUAAAAUGAAUGUUUCAUUUUGAUACUUUACAGAAUUUCUAAGUAAAAAUCUGAUAAUAUUGUUAGGAUAUCAUGAAGUGCUGGUUUAACUCUAGAAGUGGUAGAAAGCAUAAGUUACUGAAUGGUAGUCUAAGAUUUGUCAUAAAUGUUUGAAGAAAAUGUUUCCAGGCUGUAUCAGUUAGGUUUUUCCAGAGAUAGAGAGAGAGGGAGAUUAAUUAUCAGCAGAUGGCUUACACAAUAGUUAGAACCACAACUCUGAAACUUGUAGGGCAGACCAGCAGGUAGGAAACAAAAAGGAUUUCUUGCUACAGACUUGAGGCAGAAUCCCUUUUUCUCCAAGAAACAUCAAUUUUUUUUUUUUAAUAUCGGGGGCUUUUGACUGAUUGAGGCCCACUCAUGUUAUAAAAGGUAAUCCUCUUUUCUCAAAGUCAACUGGAUUGUAAAUAUAAAUCACAUCUACAAAAUACCUUCACAGCAAAAUCUAGAUAAUGGUGACGAAAUGAUGGUUGUCACAUUAAACAUCAGGUAACCCUAACAAAAACUUGUCAUAGAGAGACAAGUAAAGAUAGUUCCAGGGGAGAAAUAAAAGAUGAUUAUAAAAUUAAUGUGGCUCAGAAAACAUUACUUAGAAAAAAUUUAAAAUAUUAGAAGAAAAUCUGCUAUUUGGUGGUCAACAUUUCAUAUCUUAAAAUAAAAGGAAAUUGUUUAAAAAAAGAGAGAAAGAGGAGUUCCCGUCAUGGCUCAGUGGUUAACUAAUCUGGCUAGGAACUAUGAGGUUGCGGGUUGAUCCCCUAGCCUCGCUCAAUGGAUUAAGGAUCUGGCAUUGCUGUGAGCUGAGCUGUAGGUCACAGACGCAGCUCAGAUCUCACUUGGCUGUGGCUGUGGCAUAGACUGGCGGCUAUAGCUCAGAUUCGACCCCUAGCCUGGGAACCUCCAUAUACCGCAGGAGCAGCCCUAAAAAAGGCAAAGAAAAAAAAAAGAGAGAGAGAGAAAGAAAGGAACAAAAGAGAAAUAAAGAAUUAACUGGAAAACAAGGCUUACAAUGGCAAUAAAUACAUAUUUAUCAAUAAUUACUGUAAAGGUUAAUGGACUGAAUGCUCAAAUCAAAAGUCAUAGAGUAGCAGACUCAAUUAAAAAAAAUAAGAGCCUACAAUAUGCUGUUUACCUUAGGGCAAAGGACACAUAUAAAUUGAAAGUGAGGGGAUGGAAAAAUGACAGGACAAUCAGGAGUUGCAAUACUCAUAUAUAACAAAAUAAACUUUAAAAUGAAGGACAUAAAGAAGGACAGUAGUGAUAAAAGGAUCCAUUCAAGAAGUGAAUAUUACACUUGUCAAUAUAUAUGCCCCUAAUAUAUGUGUACCAAAAUACAUAAAGCAAAUACCAACAGACAUUAAAGGAUAAAUUGAUGGGAAUACAAAAAUAGUAGGAGAUUUUAACACCCCACUCACAUCAAUGGACAGAUCCUCUAGACAGAAAAUCAAUAAGGCAACAGAGAUCCUAAAUGACCUAAUAGAAUAGUUAGACUUACUUAAUGUUAUCAGGACAUUGUAUCAAAAAAAAAAAAAAGAAUAUACAUUCUUUACAAGUGAACUUGAAACAUUCUCUAGGAUUGACCACAUACUGGGACACAAACCAAACUCAACCAAUUUAAGAGUCAAGAAAUUAAUUCAAGCAUCUUCUCUUACCACAAUGGCAUGAAACUACAAAUCAAUCACAGGAAAAGAAAUGAGUAAAAAGUGAUUCCAUGGAAUCAAAACAACAUACUACUAAAAAAAAAAAAAACACUGAGUCAACAAGGUAAUCAGAAGGAAAUUAAAAAAUUCCUUGAGAC
rnacentral:lncRNA from 1 species